GAAACGCAGCAGGCACAAGCAACAAUGUUUGUUUAGCUUGAGGUUUACAGUAUGUAUGCUAGUUUAAAGGGAAAUUUCGCCACUUUUUAUGUUGAUGUACAAUCAGUGUUGAUGUUAAAUGUAGUCAAUUGAAGCAAUGAAUUCUUCAGUGCGUGCUAUAUUGACCAAGACAGCUAAGUUUUCCUGCUCGCUGAGCCAAGCUGACAGAGCCUACAUUUACCAGGAUGCAUUGCGUGCGAGCUUCUGACACCCAGUCCCCAAAUCCUUUCAAAACCUGCCCAGCACGUGGAGGUGGGCGUUUCAAACGUGCCUCUGUGUACAAAAAGUUAGAAAGGUCUCUCAAAUACUUCACUCUUUGACCAUAAAGCCAAAAAGAACAAUGUAAAUUGAAUUGGACUCGUUUUGUCGACAACAAACAUGUCCUCUCGUUGUAUGGUGCCUAGAUGCGACAACUGCAGAAAAAAAGAGAGAGGAGGGAGUAAGCUCCAUCGUUAUUGAAGCCAGAGGCAGGGCAGUCUUCAGCGGGUAUGAGAACCUCAACACCGGCUAAACAAACAGAACAAGGUGCUCCACAGAGACUCAGAAGACGUUUGACUGUGGGCUCUGGGACAGUAAAACAACCAUCAGUUGAUCUAGACACCAGUUUCAGCAGCAUUGAAUGCCUGGAUCCUCAUGAUGAGAACUUCUGUCCAGAAUCAGACUCUACUACCACGUCAUUAUCUGAUGACGAGGCUGGGAAGACAGGCUGGCAAGAAUCAAAGGCAAUGAUGGAACCCUUCAAGAUGUGCCAGAAAUGUGGAUCGUCUAUGAACAACACCACCGUUUCAUUUUUUGGCGCACAGAUGAAGGUCACAUGGCACUGUCUCAAAGGACAUUCUGGCACUUAGAAAUCAUCCCCUGAUGUUCGAGGAAUGCCAGCUGACCUGCUUGCUGUGUCUUCUGUUCUAUUUACAAGGAGCACAAUCACAGAGUUGGAUGAGUUUUCAAAGGUCAUGAACCUAAAAAUUAUGAGUCCAACAACUUUCUACGACGUACAUAAGACAAUACCUCUAUCCUGCCAUAGAGGACUUUUACACAUUGCAGAGAGAUAAGAUACUGGCGAAGGUCUUUCUCGAACAAAAUCCAGAACCAAUUGAAAACAAGGAAGAGGAACCACUAGUCCUAAAGUUGGCUCAUCUGUCUGGGGAUGGGAGGUGAGGUGCAAAGGAAACUUGUUUAAUUCCGGAGGACCAAGCAAUGAGUUGUGAAGAUGGUUUACAAACCUCAACGCAAAACUUCAGUGUGCCUUGCUGAACUUGUCAUUGCACGAAGACGGGACCUUACCAUUAAUAAACCGCAUGCUAGAUUUUUGGGUUAAAUCCAAAUCUGUGUGUACACUACACUACAAAAACUGACGGCUGAAAACCUCGAGCUACAUGUAACUUUUCCUAAAUUUUUAAAAUUUAAAAUUUUAAUUAGGCACCUUUAGCAGACAAUACUAAAUAUUGCAAUUGGCUCACCUCUUUGUAUUCCAAACAUAGUAUUAUAUCAAGGGUAUAAUGCUUAAAAAUGAAUGUCAGAUAACUUUUCAUUCUUAUGAGUAAGAUUUCUUAACUUUUAUCUGUGUUUUUCUGACAGUUGAUGCAAAAUUGCAGACUUAUAAGUCUGUAUUUAUGGCUCUUAUAACCCUCUACUUAAAUGUGGCACCUGUUACAGUUAAAAAAGUAUAUAGUAAUAUAGUAUAGUAGUAAUAUAGUUUUAAAUUUACAUAUACCAAAACCAAUCCAACACAUGAACAAGUUCCUCUCACCUAUAAGAUACAACUUAAGAUGGCACUGUUUGUGAGUAAACCUUCGAACUAAAGAGUAAACUUGAGUUUCAGAAAAGUUCUUUA